CACAAGAGGCAGAAAUUAAAGUAGCUGAAGUAAUGGACACCUUUCUUGAAGAUAAAUUUUGCUGCUGGAGCAUUAGGAUCAAAUGAGAAGCCUCUGAACAAUGGAUUAAUGACACAAAAUUGCAGAAGCUGAGGCAUGAAAGGAUUGAGCACAGCCCUGCUGAAAAGGACCUGGAGAUGCUGGUGGAUGGGAAGACGGACAUGAGCCAGCAAUGGACCCUUGCAGCCCAGAAAGCCAACUGUAUUCUGGACUGCAUCAAAAGAAGUGUAGCCAGCAGAUCAACAGAGAGCAUUCAAAGGUUUCCUGUAUUUUAUAACUUCAUUUUCACCUGAGGGACUUGAAG
ensembl:lncRNA